rnacentral:rRNA from 1 species
GAUGAACGCUGGCGGCGUGCUUAACACAUGCAAGUCGAGCGAAGCGAUUUUAAGGAAGCUUUCGGGUGGAAUUAAAAUUGACUGAGCGGCGGACGGGUGAGUAACGCGUGGGUAACCUGCCUCAUACAGGGGGAUAACAGUUAGAAAUGACUGCUAAUCCCGCAUAAGCGCACAGUGCUGCACAGCACAGUGUGAAAAACUCCGGUGGUAUGAGAUGGACCCGCGUCUGAUUAGGUAGUUGGUAGGGUAACGGCCUACCAAGCCGACGAGCAGUAGCCGACCUGAGAGGGUGACCGGCCACAUUGGGACUGAGACACGGCCCAAACGCCUACGGGAGGCAGCAGUGGGGAAUAUUGGGCAAUGGGGGAAACCCUGAUCCAGCGACGCCGCGUGAGUGAAGAAGUAUUUCGGUAUGUAAAGCUCUAUCAGCAGGGAAGAAAAUGACGGUACCUGACUAAGAAGCCCCGGCUAACUACGUGCCAGCCGCCGCGGUAA